GAACUUUAUUGGGAAGGCCUCCAUGUUAUCCUGUUUGACAGUUCGAGAGCUAGCUUGUCGAUGAAGAAAGCCUUUGCUACAUUCAGUCUGUAGACCCUGAUUGACAAGCAGCCUUGAGAGGGGUUUUCCAGCCUAUACCUGGCAGACAGUUCCAGUAUUGGGGCGCUGAAGGCCCCAGAACAAGAAGAGCUGGAGGAAGCUGGGUGGUGACACUUGGAAUCACUUUAGUCAUUCAUUAAAUUGUUGCUGUUCUCAAGUUCGACCUCCCACAAGAACUAUUCUAUCAUAAUUCCCUAACACAGCUGAUUGUAGCUGUCCUUCUCCAAUACUCGAAGAUAGACAUUGGUAUGUAGGUGAGUACAGACACACAUGCACACUCACACAAACACACACCCACACAAACAUACACACAUACUCUCACAUACCCCCCCACAGUCACACACAUACACACAUACUCUCACAUACCCACACUCACACACACAGUUCACACACACAUAAAUACACACUCACACACACAUUCACACAUUCAUAUUCACACACACACACACACACACAAGGGUGGGGAGAAGAGAACUUUCUGGAUAACCGCAUCUCUCUUUUGUGAACCAACCUCUAAAUCUCCUUUUAAGGACCCUCCCAUGUCCGUCUGGAUCCUGAGGGUGCUGCAUACCCACCCCUGCCUCCUUCCCAUCCCCAGAGCCUGUGGGAGGGUGGAGAAGACACAGGCCUGGCUCCUGCGUGCUGGUCAUGGCCCUUAGGAAAGGCCUUGGGUUUGGCAGGAGAACACUGGAGGAACGAAAGCCAGGUGUAGAGACUUCUUUGGGAAGAAGAGGUGGCUCAGUGGUUAGGGGUAUGCACUUUCCUCCCAUAGAUUCUAGUGUUUGGUUCAGGGUGGAAGCUGAGAAAACUCACGUCAGAUAUGAAAGCUUAAAAAUGAAAGCUUUAUUUUCUGACCGCUCAGGAUGGAGGCCAGUUCGGGCUCUGAACCACAUCCCCAGAGAGAGAGUGUAUAACAUCUCUAAGGAAUGAGAACACAAAGCAAGCUGUGGGGAGCUGCAGUGUUAUCCGGUUGUAUUUUGACAUUGUGGGUUAAGCAAGGGAAAACCUGUUGGAGACUGGGCUGUGCCCAGGGCACCUGGCUUCAGGGUACUUAAUUCAUUCUCCUAGACAUUAGUUCCGGAGCUCCGAGUGAGAAGGGGGCAAAGGAGCGGGUCAGCCGCAUGUAGCUAAUUAGAGCAUAACAGGCAAUGAUUGUAUAUUUUUUUUACAACAUAUGCACCUUGGUUUAGAUAAUAGCAGUUUCUAUAUUCUUAACCAGUUAACAGACAAGUAAGAAGACACUCAGAGAAGCGAGGUAGGUGUUCGUUCCUAGGCCUGGGAACGUGAAAGUGUUUGAUCCUGCUGGCAAGAUGGAGAAGUUGUCCCUGAGAUGCCCGGACUCAGACAACUGUUUACAGCAGGAGCUGUUCAGCUGUAGGGGGGUCCCCAGGUCCCCUAGAGCCUGGGACCUUGGGUGUCAUUUCUCCCUGUGGUUAGAUGGAGACUUAGUACUUAUGGUGGUAUUUAGAAUUCUUUUGCUUGUUCCCAGCGCUAGGGUAAGUAUUGGAUCCUCAUAACCUGUACCUAACUCCCGCACCAGGGGACCCAAUGUCCUCUUCUGGACUCUGAGCACCUGUACUCAUGUGUGUACACUCCCACACAGACACUCUUAAAAAAAAAAAAAAAACUUGGAGGGAAACUUUGCUGCCAGCCUAGGUGGCGCAGUGAGUUCAAAGCCCGCUGGCCUUCAUUGUUGGACACGGCCAAGGCUGGUGUGAAGGAAACCAUUCUUUGCAUGUUGACUUGUGAGAAGGCCAGAGGUCAAACCCCCUUUCCCAUGGUGUGUCCUUUUGUGCUGGUUCCCACCUGUAACCCAGCGCUGUCCUGAAGCUUGUGGGUCUUGUUCUUCCUCUUGCCACUGCAGUCCUCUGACCCUUUUCCUUGUCAGAGAUGUCACUCGUGGGCUCAUUUCUGGAUCCGACGUUCCCUCAGGAAGGACACCUGAUCGCCCAUGCCUUCCCAAGCAGGACCCUACCAUAUCUGUGCUGUGAGCUUCUUUGUCCUAACCCCCAAGCUCCCAGCUUUAAAAGGUGUCUGACUGACCUUCAUCGGUGGAAUCAAGAAGUUCAAAUGCCAAGGAUGCCAGACAGCAUGCCGCAACCACGGAGCAACACACUUGAAGUCUAGCUUCCUAACGCAAGUCUUCCCGCAACUAGCUGGAACACUUUAUGACACUGCCUGUUCCAGAAGUUCUGUGGGGCAGACAUGAAGGUAGAGGACUCUGGCCUCCAUUGCUGAUGUACUCCCACAUACCUUUGAUAUUCUCUAGAACCUCCUAUCAGGUCUGCUUUCUCCUGAGGAACAUACUCUGGCUUCUUGCCAGCAAUCUGUCUCGAUGCUAUGGACUAAACUGCCCGCUAGCAAUUAGUCUGGACUUUAGUUGUUUUUGAAAGAUGAAUUGAGAUGUAAUUUUCUAAUUAACAGUGGUUGUCAAAUAAAGGGGGACAAAGUCUCUGUCUGGGCCUCGACAAGGCCACGGCCACGGCGUGGCAGGCUGGAGCCUCUCGAGGACAAAUGCGAGGAACCAGUGGCUCAGGAAGCAAUUAGCUUGUGGCUUCUGUUGCUGAUGGGGGAACCAUGCAGAGCAGAGAGGGCCUGCUGGGGAGUGGAGCUCAGAUGGGGCUAGCUAUGGUGGUUGAGCUAGCAGAACGGAUGCAGGGACACGCUCCAAGGACCCCCCCCUCCACCUCCCCCGUGCACGCUCACACUGCCAUCGUACUGUGUGAUGGAACACUUCUGGGUUUGCAUUGUUGGUGCCUGGGUUAAAGAUGUAAUAGCUACCAAUGUCUGUUCUAGAUAAUAACCCUUGAAGGCACGGGGAUGGGAGGUAUUUGUCAUGGGGCUUACAGGCACAGGGGGACGUGUUUUCAGAAUGGUUACUCCCCGCAAAGCUGUCUUAUCUCAAGCCUGGUGAUAUUUCUAAGGCGUCAUUUGUAUUAUUGUUUGUGUGACUCCUGGCUCCUUUUCCCUCUCCCUGCACGGGUGACUGAACCUAGCUGCUCACAUAAGACAGACAAGCCUUUCCCACCAAGCUGCUUCCUAACUCUCUUUUAACUUUUGUUUUGAAAUAGGAGGUCACCGGCCGUGAACUCAUGGCUCCUCUGCCUCAGCUUCCCAGGUAGCCUGGGUGACAGGCCUGUGCCACCGGGCCUGGCUAUGACUCUGCUUCCGCUUUCUCAAUGGUCCCCUUUGCUCAUGUGUUGAUGACACAGGGCAACCAAUGUCACAGAGGACCUGGGGGAGGGGGACGUCUCAGUUUUGACUCUUGGCUCAGGGUCUGGCUGGCACCUCGGGCCUCCAGAUGUCUGCUUCUUUCAGAUCUCUGUAGGGACCUGACCAGACACAGAGGGCACUGGGGCAUCCAGAAAGGGCCAGUUUCUUACUUGAC
ensembl:antisense Ctcflos CCCTC-binding factor (zinc finger protein)-like, opposite strand